GAUAAUAUAAUUUAAUUUUCCAUUACUUUUAAUAAAUUGUUAUAUAAUGUAUAUAAAAUGUUUUAUUAGGUGAAAUUUUAAAAAGUUUAAAAAUUAAUUAUUAAUUAUUUAGGAAAUUUACAAAUACAACUAGGAUUAGAGACUCUAUUAUUAUAAAUGUUAAUGUUCGACUAAAUUAGUUAUAGUUAUGAGCUUGAAAAUUAAAAAUUUGGCGGUAUUUUAGUCUAUUCAGAGGAACCUGCUCUGUAAUUGAUAAUCCACAAUGUAUUUAACUUUUAUUAUAAAUUUGUAUAUCGUCGUGAAAGGACUAUUUUUGAGAAUUUAAUGUUCAAUAAAUAAAAUUUAUAAAAAAUCAGAUCAAGGUGUAGUUUAUAUAGAAGAAGAAAUGGGUUACAUUUAUUAUAAUAAAAGAUAAUUAAUUUGAACAUGGAUUUGAAAUUAAUAAAAAAAAAUUAAAAUGAUUUUAGCUCUAAAAUAUGCACAUAUUGCCCGUUGCUUCCUAGAUAAUUGGAAUAAGUCGUAACAAAGUAGGCCUACUGGAAGGUGGGCCUAGAAAGUCAAAAUAGAACUUGAUUAUAAGUAUUUUAUUUACAUUAAAAAGAUAAUUGUGGAAUUCAAUUUAUUUUGAAAUUUUAAAUUUAUUUAAUAUAUAAAUUUAUUUGAGUUAAAAAAAUUAAUUUACAUUUUAGUAAUUUUAAUAAAAUAAUUAUAAUAAUAAUAGUAAUUAGUAUUGUAAAAGAAUAUUUUAUUUUAUUAAGAAGAAAAAUUUAUUU
rnacentral:rRNA from 1 species